CCUACGGGAGGCAGCAGUGGGGAAUCUUGCACAAUGGGCGAAAGCCUGAUGCAGCCACGCCGCGUGUGUGAAGAAGGUCUUCGGAUCGUAAAACCCUUUUAGUAGGGAAGAAAGUACGUGAGUGUAACUGUUUACGUUUCGACGUUAUCGAAACAGAAAGCCACGGCUAACUACGUGCCAGCAGCCGCGGUAAUACGUAGGGUGCAAGCGUUAUCCGGAAUUACUGGGCGUAAAGGGAACGCAGGCGGUCUUUUAAGUCAGAUGUGAAAGCCUGGGGCUUAACCGGGGUAGUGCAUUGGAAACUGGGAGUCUUGAGUGCCGGAGAGGAGAGUGGAACUCCAUGUGUAGCGGUGAAAUGCGUAGAUAUAUGGAGGAACACCAGUGGCGAAGGCGGCCCUCUGGACUAUAACUGACGCUGAGGUUCGAAAGCGUGGGUAGCAAACAGGAUUAGAUACCCCAGUAGUC
rnacentral:rRNA from 1 species